rnacentral:rRNA from 1 species
UACGUAGGGUGCGAGCGUUGUCCGGAAUUAUUGGGCGUAAAGAGCUCGUAGGCGGUUUGUUGCGUCGGCCGUGAAAACCUGCAGCUUAACUGUGGGCCUGCGGCCGAUACGGGCAGACUUGAGUUCGGUAGGGGAGACUGGAAUUCCUGGUGUAGCGGUGAAAUGCGCAGAUAUCAGGAGGAACACCGGUGGCGAAGGCGGGUCUCUGGGCUGACACUGACGCUCAUGCACGAAAGCGUGGGGAGCAAACAGG